rnacentral:rRNA from 1 species
UUUAAAAUGAGAGUUUGAUCCUGGCUCAGGACGAACGUUGGCGGCGUGCCUAAUACAUGCAAGUCGAAC